UUUCCUUUCAGAGCCGAGUCCGACUGAACUGAAACUGAAUGAGACUGUAGUGAAGUGUAUUCAACACAAUGAGACACAAUGGCACUUUAUCAUCAUUAUAUCUGCUCUUCUGAUCAUUGUCAUCACUGUAGUUAGUUGUUACUCUAAAGAAAGAUUAAAACUUCAGGAUACAGAUCUACAGCAGACUAAACACGUCUAUCUAAAACAACACGAAGAGAUGAGCCGAGUACAGUUCACUGCAGUGAGAUUUUCAACAUGUGAGGAGUCUGAAGACACUCGAGUCAACUGAACCUCUGCUCUUCUACCGGUUUCAUUUCUUAUAAUGUUUAAUAAAGUAUCAAUGUUAUCAGUUAAUGUUG